rnacentral:rRNA from 1 species
UACAGAGGGUGCAAGCGUUGUUCGGAAUUAUUGGGCGUAAAGGGCGCGUAGGCGGUGCGGUAAGUCUGCAGUGAAAUCUCUGGGCUCAACUCAGAGUCUGCUGUAGAAACUGCCGUGCUUGAGUGUGGGAGAGGUGAGUGGAAUUCCCGGUGUAGCGGUGAAAUGCGCAGAUAUCAGGAGGAACACCGAUUGCGAAGGCAGCUCGCUGGAACGUUACUGACGCUGAGACGCGAAAGCGUGGGGAGCAAACAGG